rnacentral:rRNA from 1 species
GCCUCAGUAACGGCGAGUNAAGCGGCAAUAGCUCAAAUUUGAAAUCUGGCUCUUUUAGAGUCCGAGUUGUAAUUUGUAGAAGAUGCUUCGGCUUAUGCUCCGGUCUAAGUUCCUUGGAACAGGACGUCACAGAGGGUGAGAAUCCCGUUUGUGGCCGGUAGUUUUUGCCAUGUGAAGCUCCUUCGACGAGUCGAGUUGUUUGGGAAUGCAGCUCUAAAUGGGAGGUAAAUUUCUUCUAAAGCUAAAUAUUGGCCAGAGACCGAUAGCGCACAAGUAGAGUGAUCGAAAGAUGAAAAGCACUUUGGAAAGAGAGUUAAAAAGUACGUGAAAUUGUUGAAAGGGAAGCGCUUGCGACCAGACUUGUCUUCAGUUGUUCCGCCGGUCCUCUCGACCGGUGUAUUCUUCUGUUGUCAGGCCAGCAUCAGUUUGGGUGGUUGGAUAAAGGCAUUGGGAAUGUGACUUCUUUCGGGAAGUGUUAUAGCCCUUUGUGUAAUACAGCCUACCUAGACUGAGGACCGCGCUUCGGCUAGGAUGCUGGCGUAAUGGUCGUAAGCGGCCCGUCUUG